AGGUAACACAGUUUACCUGACUAGGUUACACUGUUCAGUACCUGACUGUUACCUGAACACUGUUACCUAGUCACUGAUGAUGCACCUGGUGCACUGAUGAUGUUACCUAGUCAGGUAAUGAAAUGUCUGUAAAAAGCAAACAAGUUCAGAGAGCACCAAGGACUCCACAGUUCAACCCUGAGCUACAUUUAUUCUCUUCUACAGGAGUUUUAACAGGUGCUCAACUGUUGAUUCAUACUUGUCAUUUUUAGCAUGGUAUCCUUAGUUGCUUGCAAAGUGGAUUUAUCAUGUAAUUUUUUUAAAAAACUGCAGGUUCAAAAAAUUGCACACAGGAAUUAUUUUUAAAGAGAGGAAAGUCUCCCUUCCAAGACUUCUUCAUUGGUGGUCCAAAGAUCCAUAAUUGGUUAAGGCAAAAAAAAAAAAAAAAGGAAUGCUCUGAUUCACAGGAUCCAAAGUUUUUCCAGUCCUCAGAGAAUAUGUUUUCCAGACAUGCCCCUAAUCUUUGCAGUAGGCGAGAUAAUAUUUCAAAAAAGGUCUGACAAUCUUGAAAGGGAAAAGGGGAAAUGCUACUUUUCUUCCUGGCUUGCCAGUAUGAACUUGGCAGGGCUUUGGAUGGGAUGCAUUUUCCACCUACUAAUGUCCCUGUGGUGCCUAGUAGGAUUUGGUGGCAAGAGGGCUUUCUGCAUCUGUUGUGCCACAUGGAGAAAGGCGCAUCUGCUCUGAACCUCAGUAUUUUGGUGGUUUCACUCAAUUAAACAGUGAGCUGAUUAAUAGCUUCAGUUAGUCAAACCUUCAAACUCAAGUAGCUAGUAGCAGUUACUCCCUAUCAAAUGACAUUAAGUUGGCCUUCUGGGGAGGAAGCUCAACUAAAUCCAGCAUCACGUACUUGGGGCCCAGCUUCUGGAAGACCACAAAUUCUGUAACUUAAUACAAGAUCUCCUUUACCUCAAGCUGCCUCCUUUGGACAGUUAAUCCCUAUAACCUACAAUAAUAGUCAAUAAAGUUAACAAUGACUAAAUCUAUUUCCAAAUCUGGAUGAAAACUGGAUAGAAGUUUUGAAUUUGGGCAUUAAACCUUGGAUAAGGCAUUUUGAGAUUGAAUUUCAAUGAAAUUGUGAUAUUUGAAAAUUUCUUAAAAGUUCAAAUUGUGACUCUUGUCUCCAGAUUCUAAUGGAAGAAUGCCAUUUAUUGCAAGCUACUUGCAGAUUUUCCAGAACCUUUGAGCUGAGGUUCAAAACUGGAUUAAGCAGACUUCCUCUCAGGUUGAUUUCAGGGAUUGGCCUCUGCUGUAUAACUGUCCACCAAACCAAGGCCAGUUUCAUUGUGUGGAGGAAGAGGGGUGAAAUUAGUUCUUAAGAGCAUAUUGAACAGUUCUAAAUAGGACAUGGUGACAAUUUCAGCCAAAAUCCUGAGACAAAAAUGGGUACCAGAAGUUUCUCCAUAAUAGAGACAAGUUGGGUUUGUAUAACCCAAGGCACUUCCCUACAGCCAUUGGCUUCAUCUCCUGAACCUUCAGAAGCUUCUUGCAUCAUCCUGUAGAGGGUUCUCGCCUUUGCUGUUCUCUCAGAAGUUCAGUGCUUCCUAUGAAUCAAUAGCAUUCCCCUUCCUUGACCAACAGGGGAGCACAAUUAUCUAAUCUUACAGAAGCCAGAGGUAGGCAGGUCAGCCCUCUGACUUAGGAGAGAAAAAAGGCCUUUGUGCAAUAGCACCAUUCCAAGCUCUCAGUACAAUUGCUCAGCACAGAAGAGCUGCCAGGUGUGAGUCUCUUGCAAAGACGUGCACAGAAUUUACCAUUUGUUCUAAUUAAAACUCGGUACUGUAUUUGAAUUAAAAGAUCAUGCAAGCAUGCGGAUUUUACAAUCCCAAACUGUAACCCUCAAGGGCUGUGUGUCACAAAAGAACUAACCUAGCCUGCUGCUAUCCUUGGAUAAACAUUCAGUGUUUCUGUGUGUGGGAGAUGGCCAAGGAUGUGCAAAAAAUAAAGCAGCUGCCCUUGGAGAAAGUCCAGCCUCUGCAAAGGGAGAAAUGUAAAAUUGUCCACUGCGGCCCUAGAGAGGCAGAACCAUUGUGGAUAGAGUAGGGGAAACCUUACCCACCCACACCCUCUUCUGCUCUUCUUUCACCAUGAUCAUCAGCCGGUGUGGUUAUGAAAAAAACAGAAAAUAGGGUGUUGCCAGAGAUGCCCUGCUUUUGGAGAGCUGAUCUAGGCACUCAGUUCUGUGCUGGCAGCCAGAAGAGAGGAAUAUUCCUCAGUUCAUAUUUCCUUGUUUAUUUGCAUAUCUGACUGAUCUAAUGCAGAACUGCCCAAGAUGGUUUAGGGAUGAAACUUCGUUUACCCACAAAGCUGACUGGAUUUUCCUAUUCACACAACACACCAGCCCCUCUCAUAAGCCAGUUACGCUGUGUGAAAACAGCCAAUGUGUGCUUUUGCAUUAUUUAGAAUGAUUUAAGGCAUUAUGAAAUAAGGUCAGCCUGUGCCACUAACAUACACAAGUUUGAACUUUCUGUCUUUUGUGUUGGGAGAUAGUAGAGAAACAGGACAAGAUGAAGCAUUUCAAUAGAAUUGCUUUUAAAAAAAAAAGUAUAUGUCAUGUGUAGGAUAAACUCCACCACUGAGCCACUACAAAGAGUUCAAGAGGUUCUAAAAGGACUUAUUUACUAUAAUCCUUCAGUCAGUACGCUAUACAUACACUGUUUUGCCCUUUUAAAUGCCCCCUUGCAUACUUAAAUGUGCUGUACAAGCGCUAAGUAUUAUGAUUAAAUCUUCCGUCUGAAAAUGUUAAAUAAAAUGAAGAUCUUUACUUUCUUCCAUAGAUAGGAAGGUGAAAUCAGAAGUGACCCAAGUCCAUUUACAGCUCUGCAGUAUAAGCAGCAAUUAUGUGCAGUGACACAUAAUGGCAGACAGCUGGAGUGAUUCUGGCGCAGGUCCAGAGCAAAUCCUGCUGGACAUGAUGGAUUUGAUCCUUGGUUGUAGCUAUGAAGAACCAGACAAAUGAACUUCAGCACUCUUGCCAGCAGCCUGAUACCAUCUGAGCUCCACUGUGUGCAGUUUGGAAGCCGUCACUUAGAGUCAUGGUAUGUUGGGAUUCCAAAUCCCCAAAUUCCAGCUCAGCAACCGCCUGGGAUUUUUGGGAGAAGACCAAGAGAGGUAUCAUCCAGAUCUCUCCCCACCACACCAUUACUGCUGAGGAUCAACCGUUCCUCACCCCCAAGGGAUCAGAUGUGGAGCUGAAGCCAAGGUCUCGUGACUCCCACUGUUUCCUUUCUGUUGCCAUCACCAUUCUUCCAAAUGGAACGUCACUGUUUCCUUCUGUGUUUAAUAUCUUUCAAUGCCAUUUUUCUAUUCCUGUUACUUAAAUAAUAAAGAUAUUUGUAA